AGCGACCGACAGGGGAGCCUCGAGCUGAGAGUGCGGCACGGCCCGCAGACCCUUAGAGCACCUGCUCCGGCUAGCACCGGCGAAGGGAGUCGACGUGGACCAGCC
rnacentral:ncRNA from 1 species